rnacentral:rRNA from 1 species
AGCGAACGCUGGCGGCAGGCUUAACACAUGCAAGUCGAACGCCCCGCAAGGGGAGUGGCAGACGGGUGAGUAACACGUGGGAACGUACCCUUUGGUUCGGAAUAACUUGGGGAAACUCAAGCUAAUACCGGAUAAGCCCUUAUGGGGAAAGGUUUACUGCCGAAGGAUCGGCCAGCGUCUGAUAAGCUAGUUGGUGAGGUAAUGGCUCACCAAGGCGACGAUCAGUAGCUGGUCUGAGAGAAUGAUCAACCACACUGGGACUGAGACACGGCCCAGACUCCUACGGGAGGCAGCAGUGGGGAAUAUUGGACAAUGGGGGCAACCAUGAUCCAGCCAUGCCGCGUGAGUGAUGAAGGCCUUAGGGUUGUAAAGCUCUUUUACCCGGGACGAUAAUGACUGUACCGGGAGAAUAAGCCCCGGCUAACUUCGUGCCAGCCGCCGCCGUAA